GAUGAACGCCGGCGGUGUGCCUAAUACAUGCAAGUCGUACGCACUGGCCCAACUGAUUGAUGGUGCUUGCACCUGAUUGACGAUGGAUCACCAGUGAGUGGCGGACGGGUGAGUAACGCGUGAGGAACCUGCCUCGGAGUGGGGAAUAACAGUUGGAAACAGCUGCUAAUACCGCAUGAUGCAACGGAAUCGCAUGACUCUGUUGCCAAAGAUUUAUCGCUCUGAGAUGGCCUCGCGUCUGAUUAGCUAGUUGGCGGGGUAACGGCCCACCAAGGCGACGAUCAGUAGCCGGACUGAGAGGUUGGCCGGGCCACAUUGGGACUGAGACACGGCCCAG
rnacentral:rRNA from 1 species